GUUUAAAUUUUACUGCAAAUAUAUUAGUCAGUAAGCAAAUAUACAAUAAUGGGUAAAUUCUACCUACAUUACAUAUUUUAUAACAGUAACAUUUGCAGCCUAAACAAAUAUAAUAAAAUCUACCCCAAAAUGAUAAGUCUGCAGUUCAAAGUGCACAUGCGUCAGUGCUGGUUCUUGGCCAAAAUCUAUCGUUUCACUGACGGGACACUGGAGUCAAGCUGUUCGGUUUAGCUAAGUCCCAAUGUGUCGAGAGAGAAAAAGGGAUGCAGUUGUUUGUCGCCUCAUUGAGUACCUUGGGGAACAUCAAGAAGAUCUCAUCCAAGAUUGCUAGGAUGAAAAUGAGGACAACAUGGACUAAACCAUGAAGGUGCUUGUGAUCCAUAAUCCUGCAGCCAAGGAGCAUACAGGAAGCUUGAGUAUACUUAAAGUAUUUCAGAAACUCUUUUGGUGCUUGACAGAGCAAAGCUGCUCAAGAAGGUCCAGAGCCUCAAAAGUAAGCUAAUGAACUGUUUGUCACCGUGUUCAGGCACAGACUGACUGUUUCCUGGGAACUUACUGUUGGUGCUGAAGAAUGCUCACUGUACAAUGCAAUCAGACAAUUUCAUCUCCCAAAGAGCAGUGUCACAUUGAAAUUCACUACAUUCAAAUAAUGCAUAUCAUCUCAUGGAUCAAUGUUAUUCAAAAGACACAAAUUGGUUAAGCAAGGACUGAACUCAGUGUGUUUCUGACUGGUACUAGGCUGUCAAUUCAUUUAACCAAAGGGACACGGUGUUGAGAUGUGGAAAAUUAUGUUUU